UACGUAGGAUGCGAGCGUUGUCCGGAAUUAUUGGGCGUAAAGAGUACGUAGGCGGUUUGUUAAGUUUGGGCUUAAAGACUGGGGCUCAACCCCAGGAGUGGCUCGAAAACUGACAGACUAGAGGAUGGCAGAGGAAAGUGGAAUUCCCAGUGUAGCGGUGAAAUGCGUAGAUAUUGGGAGGAACACCAGUGGCGAAAGCGACUUUCUGGGCCAUUCCUGACGCUGAGGUUCGAAAGCGUGGGGAGCAAACAGG
rnacentral:rRNA from 1 species